rnacentral:rRNA from 1 species
GACGAACGCUGGCGGCGUGGAUUAGGCAUGCAAGUCGAACGGUAUCAUCCUUCGGGGGUGAGAGAGUGGCGAACUGGUGAGUAACACGUAGGUUAUCUACCCUCAAGACGGGGACAACCCAGGGGAAACUUGGGCUAAUACCGGAUGUGAGCAACUUUUAGUUGUUUGAAAGGUGGCGUAAGCUGUCGCUUGGGGAUGAGCCUGCGUCCUAUUAGUUAGUUGGUGAGGUAACGGCUCACCUAGGCAAUGAUAGGUAGGCGGCCUUAACGGGUGGUCGCCCACACUGGGAUUGAGAUACGGCCCAGACUCCUACGGGAGGCAGCAGUCGAGAAUAGUCUACAAUGGUCGGAAGACUGAUAGUGCGACGCCGCGUGAACGAUGAAUCCCUUCGGGGUGUAAAGUUCUUUUAUAUGUGAGCAGUGCUUCUUAUAUUAACAGUAUGGGGAGAGAGAUAUUAGCAUAUGAAUAAGCAACGGCUAACUCCGUG